rnacentral:rRNA from 1 species
UUGCGCUAUCAGAUGAGCCUAGGUCGGAUUAGCUAGUUGGUGAGGUAAUGGCUCACCAAGGCGACGAUCCGUAACUGGUCUGAGAGGAUGAUCAGUCACACUGGAACUGAGACACGGUCCAGACUCCUACGGGAGGCAGCAGUGGGGAAUAUUGGACAAUGGGCGAAAGCCUGAUCCAGCCAUGCCGCGUGUGUGAAGAAGGUCUUCGGAUUGUAAAGCACUUUAAGUUGGGAGGAAGGGCAUUAACCUAAUACGUUAGUGUUUUGACGUUACCGACAGAAUAAGCACCGGCUAACUCUGUGCCAGCAGCCGCGGUAAUACAGAGGGUGCAAGCGUUAAUCGGAAUUACUGGGCGUAAAGCGCGCGUAGGUGGUUUGUUAAGUUGGAUGUGAAAUCCCCGGGCUCAACCUGGGAACUGCAUUCAAAACUGACUGACUAGAGUAUGGUAGAGGGUGGUGGAAUUUCCUGUGUAGCGGUGAAAUGCGUAGAUAUAGGAAGGAACACCAGUGGCGAAGGCGACCACCUGGACUAAUACUGACACUGAGGUGCGAAAGCGUGGGGAGCAAACAGGAUUAGAUACCCU